AUUGAACGCUGGCGGCAUGCUUUACACAUGCAAGUCGAACGGUAACAGGCCGCAAGGUUCUGACGAGUGGCGCACGGGUGUGUAAUGCAUCGGAACGUGCCCCGUCGUGGGGGUUAACUACUCUUAAGAGUAGCUAAUACCGCAUACGAUCUAUGGAUGAAAGCGGGGGUCCGUAAGGCCUCGCGCGAUUUGAUCGGCCGAUGUCAGAUUAGGUAGUUGGUGGGGUAAAGGCUCACCAAGCCAACGAUCUGUAGCUGGUCUGAGAGGACGACCAGCCACACUGGGACUGAGACACGGCCAAGACUCCUACGGGAGGCAGCAGUGGGGAAUUUUGGACAAUGGGCGAAAGCCUGAUCCAGCAAUGCCGCGUGCAGGAAGAAGGCCUUCGGGUUGUAAACUGCUUUUGUACGGAACGAAACGGCUCUGGUUAAUACCCGGGGAUAAUGACGGUACCGUAAGAAUAAGCACCGGCUAACUACGUG
rnacentral:rRNA from 1 species